rnacentral:ribozyme from 1 species
AGGAAGAAAGAAUCACCAAAGAGAGAGAAGAUGAUGAUAAUGGCUAUGAUGAAAGCUUUGUUCUUUGUUGCUUAUUUCUCGAUCUUUGUCUUCAUUUGUUUUUCAAUCCUUUUCCAUUAUAUUUAUUGAUUU